CCGGCUUUCCUCCUCGCCCACGGCUGCUGCGGCUUAGCCUCCCCGACUGGCUCCCGGACUCGGCACAGCCGGCGGACCUGUCUUCACAAUGAGAAAAACUGUCUUCGAGGAUUUUAUUCAUGGAACUGCAACUGCAGAACCUCACGCACUUGGACGUGAUUUAAACGAUAGGAUCCUGGACCACGACCCUGAGCCUGAUGCCAUAACGAGGGCACUACAGCCCAGCCACCGCAUUCUAAGGAGGCCCAGGACACAUGCAGAGGUCACAUGAAGGUGUCUCAGCCAACCGCUCUACCUAAGUGCCGGCUGCCACCAACCUCCGGAGAUGUGAGCGAGCAAAGCCUCCGCCUAGCAACUCCUCUCUGCCCUAACGACUCAUCUCUGGCAUUACUGCUUCGGGAACGCCUUCU